GGUCACUUGUCUGUCAGAGCUUUAAUCUGCAAAUUAAUUACAAGAAGGGUGCUGACAACGUGAUAGCAGAUUCUCUGUCUAGGUGUUAAUUGUAAACUAUGUAAACCAUGUUUACUCUUAUGUGUGGGGGUGUUACGACCCUAUAGUUUUGUUGUGUUUUGUUCUGCUGGUUUGUGUGUGUCUGCCCAGGUUGCUGCUGAUUGGUUCCUGCAGACUCAUUGAUGUCGUCCUCUGAUUGGUCUUCUCUCCCUUAAAAGAGAUGACAGCAUUUCCUUCAGGGGGGGCAUUUUGUGAACCAUGCUGUUUGUUGGUGCAGUGCUUGUGCUGUUUUACCCCCAUUUGUAUGCUUAGAGAGAUUGUCUGGAUAUUCAUUGUUUGUGUAACGGUUUGGGGAGAUCAGCCUGGACAAUCCUCCGGGUAAGAUGAGGGGAGUGUGUUUCCAAUGAUGUCUUCAAUGACAUGCAGCAAUUCCAGUUUCACUCUUCUCUAUUUUAGUCAUGGGGAAUGUAUUCUUUUGAUCGGUCCUUGUGGCAAGCUCACUGUGGGCAGCAGUGGAGUUGAAGACCUGGUCUGUAGUCUUCGGUGGAACUGUUACCUUAGGUAGCGUGAUGUAUCACUGCAGAAUUUACUUCCUCACAGUCAUUCACAUUUAUAUGUGGUGCAGCAUUUAUCUUGGCUUUGGUGGAGCUUUGAUUUGACCUCUCAAGGUUCAAUGCAGCCAACUUCAAUUGUUUUGAUGUUUUCAGAUUAAGAUCUGUUUUUGUAAGAUGACUAAUUUCAGUUAAGUCAGCUUCAUUUUUCUUUAUACUUUUGUCAGCAUUGUGAUGUUGCAUAGUGACCUUUUUUAAUCUAAUUACGUCUGAUGCAACAUUCUCAGUGACACAAUGACUUGAUGAUUCAGGUCCUUGAAUCAGGUUUUCUUGACUUAGUGGCUGUUGAUCAGGCUUG
rnacentral:lncRNA from 1 species